rnacentral:rRNA from 1 species
AUUGAACGCUGGCGGCAGGCCUAACACAUGCAAGUCGAGCGAACCUAGCUUGCUAGGUGAGCGGCGAACGGGUGAGUAACGCGUAGGAAUCUGCCUGGUAGUGGGGGACAACGUUCCGAAAGGGACGCUAAUACCGCAUACGCCCUACGGGGGAAAGUGGGGGACCUUCGGGCCUCACGCUAUCAGAGGAGCCUGCGUCGGAUUAGCUAGUUGGUGGGGUAAAGGCUCACCAAGGCGACGAUCCGUAACUGGUCUGAGAGGAUGAUCAGUCACACCGGAACUGAGACACGGUCCGGACUCCUACGGGAGGCAGCAGUGGGGAAUAUUGGACAAUGGGGGAAACCCUGAUCCAGCCAUGCCGCGUGUGUGAAGAAGGCCUUCGGGUUGUAAAGCACUUUAAGCGAGGAGGAAGGUUCGCUGGCUAAUAUCCAGCGGAAUUGACGUUACUCGCAGAAUAAGCACCGGCUAACUCCGUGCCAGCAGCCGCAGUAACAC